GACGAACGCUGGCGGCGUGCUUAACACAUGCAUGUCGAGCGGUAAGGCCCUUUCGGGGGUACACGAGCGGCGAACGGGUGAGUAACACGUGGGUGACCUGCCCUCAGCUCUGGGAUAAGCCUGGGAAACCGGGUCUAAUACUGGAUAUGACUCCAUGACGCAUGUUGUGGGGUGGAAAGCCUUGUGCGGCUGAGGAUGGGCCCGCGGCCUAUCAGCUUGUUGGUGGGGUGAUGGCCUACCAAGGCGACGACGGGUAGCCGGCCUGAGAGGGCGACCGGCCACACUGGGACUGAGACACGGCCCAGACUCCUACGGGAGGCAGCAGUGGGGAAUCUUGCGCAAUGGGCGAAAGCCUGACGCAGCGACGCCGCGUGAGGGAUGACGGCCU
rnacentral:rRNA from 1 species